AUUGAACGCUGGCGGCAUGCCUUACACAUGCAAGUCGAACGGUAACAGGUCUUCGGAUGCUGACGAGUGGCGAACGGGUGAGUAAUACAUCGGAACGUGCCUAGUAGUGGGGGAUAACUACUCGAAAGAGUGGCUAAUACCGCAUGAGAUCUACGGAUGAAAGCAGGGGAUCGCAAGACCUUGUGCUACUAGAGCGGCCGAUGGCAGAUUAGGUAGUUGGUGGGAUAAAAGCUUACCAAGCCGACGAUCUGUAGCUGGUCUGAGAGGACGAUCAGCCCCACUGGGACGGAGACACGGCCCAGACUCCUACGGGAGGCAGCAGUGGGGAAUUUUGGACAAUGGGCGCAAGCCUGAUCCAGCAAUGCCGCGUGCAGGAUGAAGGCCUUCGGGUUGUAAACUGCUUUUGUACGGAACGAAAAGCCCUGGGUUAAUACCCUGGGGUCAUGACGGUACCGUAAGAAUAAGCACCGGCUAACUACGUGCCAGCCGCCGCCGUAAAAC
rnacentral:rRNA from 1 species